GAUGAACGCUGGCGGUAUGCUUAACACAUGCAAGUCGAACGGUCUCUUCGGAGAUAGUGGCGGACGGGUGAGUAACGCGUGAGAAUCUGGCUCUAGGUUUGGGACAACCACUGGAAACGGUGGCUAAUACCGGAUAUGCCGAAAGGUGAAAGGUUAACUGCCUGGAGAUGAGCUCGCGUCUGAUUAGCUAGUUGGUAGGGUAAAAGCUUACCAAGGCGACGAUCAGUAGCUGGUCUGAGAGGACGAUCAGCCACACUGGGACUGAGACAC
rnacentral:rRNA from 12 species